ensembl:lncRNA
CAGACAGACAGAUAUUGUACUGGGCUGGGCGAUGUAGCUGAAUAAUGUACCAUGAGAAAGUGUUUCAUAUCAUAGCCUAUUUUUAGAGCAGGGGAAAUAAACAUAUUGUAAUUUAACCACCUCACUUACCUUUUGAACUACUUUGAAUGUAAGCUUUUUAUUUAUCAAGGCACACAACACAUAAUUUUAAUGUUAACAAUGAAAAAUGCACAUAAAUAAAUACAUUUACACAUAAACAAUAAAUGAGAGGGAUAGAGAUUAGGAUUAAGGAAUCAUCUAUCCUUGAUACAAAAUAAGAAAUACAGCAAGUAAUUCCAUCUCAAACUUUAUCAUCUAAGCUACUAUCUGUGUAAAUUGACCAGACAUCAUUAAGAUGCAAUCAUUAAACUAAAGUUCGGGCCCACAGAGAGCAACCAGGACAAAGCUGCCCUGGAACAGCUGUCAGUGGACAGAAACCUUGUUUUGAUCCUAAUGCACACUCUAAGGUCAAGUCCAUCCAUCUGAAGGCACCAAGAAUGGAUUGCUGUGGCUGCAGCAUAGUUGCUUGUCUUGGAAGGGCUUAAUGGAAGCCAUGGGGUUAGCAGCACAGGACAUAGAGGCUCCGUUAUCAAAGGAUAUGAUAGGCUGUUUAUGAGCCAGCAAGGGAGCAGCUUGUGGUUUGUUCAUGCAAUUAAAUCUUGUUAUUGAUGAAAUGUCUUUUGCUGGUACAUAUUUCUGUCAUCGCCCAGACCUAAUACACACUCUCUCUCUCUCUCUCUCACACACACACACACACACACACACACACACACACACACACACACACAUUAUCUCUCUCUCUCUGUCAUGACAGCAGUCUCUCAACAUGUACAGGGAAGCAGCAGAAGGGCUUGGUGCAUGAGUGGGUUGAGAGGUGUGACUGAAUAAGCUGUGUCUGAUUGUUGUGUGAUGUUCUGUGUGUGGACGUGUGAGAAUUUGAAGUUUGAAUCUUUUCUGAAUUCAUGUGUGUGGCUCUGCAGGGCUGAGAAGGACUGCAGUGUGUAAGUAGGACAGUGACUGAUGCUGCUACCUGAAUAAAAGCAACGAGUCAAACACUGGUG